rnacentral:tRNA from 1 species
GCCUCCUUAGCUCAGUGGUAGAGCAACAUACUUGUAAUAUGUAGGUCAUCGGUUCGAUCCCGAUAGGAGGCUCCA